rnacentral:misc_RNA from 1 species
UUUAUUUAUUUAUUUAUUUUUAAUAAACUUUCCCUUUUAUUUGUUUCUCUCCCUCUCUUUAUUCUUGGUCUUCUCUGUCUUCUUUCUUUCAUUGUAUUAUUGUGAUUAUUAUCAUCAUUUCUUUGGAUAGCACAAAGAGGAUUUGGACUUUCUAAUCUUCCUUCUCCUUCCUACCAAAUGGGGCUACUGCUCAGCCACACUUUUAAGUAACUUCUUUUUCUUUUUAUUUCUUUGUUUUUUAUUUCAUAAUUUUUAAAAUGACUGCAAUUGUUUUAAUUGCAUGAUAAUAUAUCAUUUAUUAUGAUGAAGUCUCUACCUAUAGCAAUGCAUGCCUAUGUAGCACGGAAACGGGAGACGGGAGCGUU